rnacentral:misc_RNA from 1 species
GAUGAAGAACGCAGCGAAAUGCGAUAAGUAAUGCGAAUUGCAGAAUUUCCGUGAGUCAUCGAAUCUUUGAACGCACAUUGCGCCCACUGGUAUUCCGGUGGGCAUGCCUGUUCGAGCGUCAUUAUCCUCCCUCAAACCCCGGGUUUGGUGUUGGACCCAAGUUGUGUGAACAACUGGUCUCAAAGACAAUGACGGCGUCCGUGGGACCCUCGGUGCAACGAGCUUUUAGGAGCACGCAUCGAGUUGCAAGGACCUUCCGGACCGGUCUCCUUUACCAUUUUACAAGGUUGACCUCGGAUCAGGUAGGAAUACCCGCUGAACUUAAGCAUAUCAAUAAGCGGAGGA